UACGUAGGGCGCAAGCGUUGUCCGGAAUUAUUGGGCGUAAAGAGCUCGUAGGCGGCUUGUCACGUCGGGUGUGAAAGCCCGGGGCUUAACCCCGGGUCUGCAUUCGAUACGGGCUAGCUAGAGUGUGGUAGGGGAGAUCGGAAUUCCUGGUGUAGCGGUGAAAUGCGCAGAUAUCUGGAGGAACACCGGUGGCGAAGGCGGCAUCCUGGACCGGUAUUGACGCUGAGGAGCGAAAGCCAGGGGAGCAAACGGG
rnacentral:rRNA from 1 species